UCCUCAAAUCUUCAUAUUAUGAUAUUAAUAUUAUUAUUAUUAUUAUUAGAUUUCUAAAGUCAGACAAGACCCCCGCCCUCCCCAAGGGAUAUCUAAGCAGGAAGAUAGAAUUACUACGUCAUCGUUAUUAUCAUCACUGGGACCACCACCACCACCACCACCAUCAUCAUUAUUAUUAUAUGUAUUUAUAUCUUGCUUUUUCUCUCUCGGAGCGGCGUAACAUAAAAGCAUCAGCCUACAGUUCAAAAUACAGCAAUAUGCAAACGUGAAAACGGGAAUACAUGUAAACAAUCCCAGUUAGAAACCAUUAAGAGAGAAUCAAAGCUCGAAACCACAGCUUCCUUCCUUCUUCUCGCCCUUGUUGCCACUCGAGGCCUGGAAGCUUCUCUCAAGGAACAACAACAACUCCUCGGCUGUCCUGCCCGGAAUGACAAGUGGCUGCCUUUCAUUCCUUCCUUCUUUCUUUCUUUCUUUCUCGUCCAGUUAAUUAGCCAAAGAGCGGCUCCGAGCCAAAAAAGCUCCUCCGGCCAAGGCUCGGCUCCUCCUCCUCUUCCCUCAAAGCCACUCGCUCACAUUUCCCAAAAGGGAACAAGACGGGAGACCACUCAACCUCCGUUGCGGGAAACGAAGAUUUGAAGAUCGGAGUGCAAAGACUCCAGCACUAGCCCGGUCAAGGGGGUCCCGGUGGUGACAGGUGCACUGGACUCAGUGCUUAAAGACCUCGCCCAGCACUUGAAAACAUGACUUCAUUAUAUGUCGAGCGAGAUAUAUUAAGUUUAGGGAGGUACUUAUAUUUUUUUUGCAAGCAAGAGUCCAAAACCAGCUGACGGAAACCCUCAGAGACACUCGCAGGGACGCCGCAGCAAGCAAGAGUCCAAAACUGGCUGACAAAAACCCGCAGAGACACCACAGCAAGCAAGAGUCCAAAACCAGCUGACCAAAACCCCCAGGGACACUCACAGGGAUGCCGCAGCAAGCAAGAGUCCAAAACCGGCUGACGGAAACCCACAGAGACACUCGCAGGGAUGCUGCAGCAAGCAAGAGCCCAAAACCAGCUGACAAAAACCCGCAGAGACACUCACACGAAUGACGCAGCAAGCAAGAGUCCAAAACUGGCUGACAAAAACCCGCAGAGACACUCGCAGGGAUGCCGCAGCAAGCAAGAGUCCAAAACCGGCUGACGAAAACCCGCAGAGACACCGCAGCAAGCAAGAGUCCAAAACCGGCUGACAAAACCCACAGAGACACUCGCAGGGUCGCUGCAGCAAGCAAGAGUCCAAAACCGGCUGACAAAAACCCGCAGAGACACCGCAGCAAGCAAGAGUCCAAAACCGGCUGAUGGAAACCCAGAACCUCAAUCAGUGGCUGACACCAGAUGAGCGAAUCCGACAACGGAGGGCCUUUUCACAGCGACACCAAAUGGCCCAAGGAAAUCUAAUAUAAUGCCAAGUUUUUAACUUUGUUUGUGUUCGUAAAUACCUUAUAAGUGUGCCCUCGAUUCGCUCCCGAAUUAACCGCCGAGUUCAUCCCGAAAGCAGCUGCAGUGACCCCAGAGGCCGCCCUGGUUAUUUUUUUUUCUGGGUCAGCGCAAGACGGCAAACGGCUCUGACCGGAUUCUCGUUUGUUCAGAUGCUCUUUUGUUUACAGAUCCCCGAGGCCUGUGCCAACGCCUCGAACCCGCAACUGUGGUUCGGGGAAAAGGAGCCGCGGUUGGUUUCCCUCCCGGAAGGGAUUUGGGAAAAAGAAGAAGCCGUCAAAACGGAACGAGCGAGAGGCGGGAACAGGAAAAGGCCGUUCUCCCCUCGGCGAGGACGACAACAACGAUGCCAACGAGUGACAACGGCGGCGGCAAAGCCUCGUGUGGAUGGAGCGAGUGACUCAUGUUGGGCGCCCGAAUUGGGCAACUUGGACGGAGAAGCGUUCCAAAACCAACAGUGAGUGACACGUUUCAAUACUGUCACCAGAGCGGAACGACUUCCGAGUUGGUCGACCGAUCCGAAGUUUUCCUUCUGGACCUGACAGCCCAGAAAACACACAGCAACCCUUUGCCUUCUGGGCCUGGUGUUUCGCCAAAAUUCACCUUCUGGACCUGGUGUUUUCCCCAAGUUUGUUGUGAGUUAUAUCUCACAACCUCUGGGGAUGCCUGCCACAGAUGUGGGUGAAACGUCAGGAGAGAAUACUCCCAGAACAUGGCCAUACAGCCCGGAAAACACACAGCAACCCUUUGCCUUCUGGGCCUGGUGUUUCGCCAAAAUUCACCUUCUGGGCCUGGUGUUUCGCCAAAGUUUAUGUUCUAGACCUGGUGUUUUCCCCACAUUUGUUGUGAGUUAUAUCUCACAACCUCUGGGGAUGCCUGCCACACGUGUGGGUGAAACGUCAGGAGAGAAUACUCCCAGAACAUGGCCAUACAGCCCGGAAAACACACAACAACCCUUUGCCUUCUGGGCCUGGUGUUCCCCCAAAAUUCACCUUCUGGACUUGGUGUUUUUCCCUAGUUUGUUGUGAGUUAUAUCUCACAACUUCUGGGGAUGCCUGCCACGGAUGUGGGUGAAACGUCAGGAGAGAAUACUCCCAGAACAUGGCCAUACAGCCCAGAAAACACACAGCAACCCUUUGCCUUCUGGGCCUGGUGUUUCGCCAAAGUUUACGUUCUGGACCUGGUGUUUUCCCCAAGUUUGUUGUGAGUUAUCCCUCACAACCUCUGGGGAUGCCUGCCACAGAUGUGGGUGAAACAUCAGGAGAGAAUACUCCCAGAACAUGGCCAUACAGCCCGGAAAACACACAACAACCUUUUGCCUUCUGGGCCUGGUGUUUUCCCCAAGUUUGUUGUGAGUUAUCCCUCACAACCUCUGGGGAUGCCUGCCACAGAUGUGGGUGAAACAUCAGGAGAGAAUACUCCCAGAACAUGGCCAUACAGCCCGGAAAACACACAACAACCCUUUGCCUUCUGGGCCUGGUGUUUCGCCAAAGUUUACGUUCUGGACCUGGUGUUUUCCCCAAGUUUGUUGUGAGUUAUCCCUCACAACCUCUGGGGAUGCCUGCCACAGAUGUGGGUGAAACAUCAGGAGAGAAUACUCCCAGAACAUGGCCAUACAGCCCGGAAAACACACAACAACCUUUUGCCUUCUGGGCCUGGUGUUUUCCCCAAGUUUGUUGUGAGUUAUCCCUCACAACCUCUGGGGAUGCCUGCCACAGAUGUGGGUGAAACAUCAGGAGAGAAUACUCCCAGAACAUGGCCAUACAGCCCGGAAAACACACAACAACCUUUUGCCUUCUGGGCCUGGUGUUUUCCCCAAGUUUGUUGUGAGUUAUCCCUCACAACCUCUGGGGAUGCCUGCCACAGAUGUGGGUGAAACAUCAGGAGAGAAUACUCCCAGAACAUGGCCAUACAGCCCGGAAAACACACAACAACCCUUUGCCUUCUGGGCCUGGUGUUUCGCCAAAGUUUACGUUCUGGACCUGGUGUUUUCCCCAAGUUUGUUGUGAGUUAUCCCUCACAACCUCUGGGGAUGCCUGCCACAGAUGUGGGUGAAACAUCAGGAGAGAAUACUCCCAGAACAUGGCCAUACAGCCCGGAAAACACACAACAACCUUUUGCCUUCUGGGCCUGGUGUUUUCCCCAAGUUUGUUGUGAGUUAUCCCUCACAACCUCUGGGGAUGCCUGCCACAGAUGUGGGUGAAACAUCAGGAGAGAAUACUCCCAGAACAUGGCCAUACAGCCCGGAAAACACACAACAACCUUUUGCCUUCUGGGCCUGGUGUUUUCCCCAAGUUUGUUGUGAGUUAUAUCUCACAACCUCUGGGGAUGCCUGCCACACGUGUGGGUGAAACGUCAGGAGAGAAUACUCCCAGAACAAGGCCAUACAGCCCGGAAAACACACAACAACCCUUUGCCUUCUGGACCUGGUGUUUUCCCCAAGUUUGUUGUGAAUUAUACCUCACAACCUCUGAGGAUGAGUAAACUCCGAGUAAACUUUGGAACCUGAACUCAAGCAACUCUGCUUUUCGGGAAGUGCCGGAUCAUGUCUAAUAUUUAAUUCCAAAGCCAAUUCUGGCAAAAAAUCCCCCCAAAAGUAAAUUGAUAGCACGUAUUAAAAGCGAGGCAUAAUUGCACUAAACAAGUAAAUUAAUAGCGCGUACUAAAGGUGGGAUAUAAGUGCACUAGACAAGUAAACUAAUAGCACGUACUAAAAGUGGGGUUUAAUUGCACUAAACAAGUAAAUUAAUAGUGUGCACUAAAAGUGAGGUAUAAAGGCACUAAACAAGUAAAUUAAUAGCGUGUACUAAAAACAGGGUAUAAAGGCACUAAACAAGUAAAUUAAUAGCGCGUAGUAGAAGUGGGGUAUAAAUGCACCAAACAAGUAAAUUAAUAGCAGGGCAUAAAUGCACUAAACAAGUAAAUAAAUAGCGCGUACUAAAAGCAGGGUUUAAUUGCACUAAACAAGUAAAUAAAUAGCGCGUACUAAAAGCGGGGUUUAA